AAUAGAUACCCUGGUAGUCCACGCCGUAAACGAUGAGUACUAGGUGUAGGAGGGUCCAACCUUCUGUGCCGCAGUUAACACAAUAAGUACUCCGCCUGGGAAGUACGAUCGCAAGAUUAAAACUCAAAGGAAUUGACGGGGGCCCGCACAAGCAGCGGAGCAUGUGGUUUAAUUCGAAGCAACGCGAAGAACCUUACCUGGACUUGACAUCCCCUGAAUUACUCGUAAUGGAGGAAGCCCUUCGGGGCAGGGAGACAGGUGGUGCAUGGUUGUCGUCAGCUCGUGUCGUGAGAUGUUAGGUUAAGUCCUGCAACGAGCGCAACCCUUACCAUUAGUUGCUACCAUUAAGUUGAGCACUCUAGUGAGACUGCCCGGGUUAACCGGGAGGAAGGUGGGGAUGACGUCAAAUCAUCAUGCCCCUUAUGUCCAGGGCUACACACGCGCUACAAUGGUGAGUACAAUUAGAUGCAAACCCGCGAGGGGGAGCCAAACUAAAAACUCAUCCCAGUUCGGAUUGUAGGCUGAAACUCGCCUACA
rnacentral:rRNA from 1 species